AUUGAACGCUGGCGGCAGGCUUAACACAUGCAAGUCGAGCGGGGUGAUGGUGCUUGCACUAUCACUUAGCGGCGGACGGGUGAGUAAUGCUUAGGAAUCUGCCUAUUAGUGGGGGACAACAUCUCGAAAGGGAUGCUAAUACCGCAUACGUCCUACGGGAGAAAGCAGGGGAUCACUUGUGACCUUGCGCUAAUAGAUGAGCCUAAGUCGGAUUAGCUAGUUGGUGGGGUAAAGGCCUACCAAGGCGACGAUCUGUAGCGGGUCUGAGAAGAUGAUCCGCCACACUGGGACUGAGACACGGCCCAGACUCCUGCGGGAGGCAGCAGUGGGGAAUAUUGGACAAUGGGGGGAACCCUGAUCCAGCCAUGCCGCGUGUGUGAAGAAGGCCUUAUGGUUGUAAAGCACUUUAAGCGAGGAGGAGGCUCUUUUGGUUAAUACCCAAGAUGAGUGGACGUUACUCGCAGAAUAAGCACCGGCUAACUCUGUGCCAGCAGCCGCCGUAA
rnacentral:rRNA from 1 species